CAAUCAGGGAAUAAAGAGGAUUUUUUCCCUUCACCUCUGCUUCCCCAAUCUCCUGUGGCCAGGGACAUUUAACAGCCCCAAUUUAAAGAGCUCUGACCUGCAGACAGCAGGAAAAAGCUGCUUUUUCCUCUGCUGAUCCUCAGAUGUGUUUUCAGUCCCUGCUAGGCGACUCCCUAAUUCCAGCCCUGUAACAAAAGGCCCAUUUUAAACCCAAUAUUCCUAUUUCAGGCAGAGCUGGGGGGGAGGGUGGGGCUGGAGAGUUCCUGAGGGAGCUGGGAAA